rnacentral:rRNA from 1 species
GCUACACAUGCAGUCGAACGGUGACUCAGAGCUUGCUCUGAUGAUCAGUGGCGAACGGGUGAGUAACACGUGAGCAACCUACCCUUGACUCCGGGAUAACAGCUGGAAACAGCUGCUAAUACCGGAUACGACCUCGACCGACAUCAGUUGAGGUGGAAAGUUCUGGCGGUCAAGGAUGGGCUCGCGGCCUAUCAGCUAGUUGGUGAGGUAACGGCUCACCAAGGCUUCGACGGGUAGCCGGCCUGAGAGGGCGACCGGCCACACUGGGACUGAGAUACGGCCCAGACUCCUACGGGAGGCAGCAGUGGGGAAUAUUGCACAAUGGGCGAAAGCCUGAUGCAGCAACGCCGCGUGCGGGAUGACGGCCUUCGGGUUGUAAACCGCUUUCAGCUCCGACGAAGCGCAAGUGACGGUAGGAGCAGAAGAAGGACCGGCCAACUACAUGCCAGCAGCCGCGGUGAUACGUAGGGUCCGAGCGUUGUCCGGAAUUAUUGGGCGUAAAGGGCUUGUAGGCGGUUUGUCGCGUCGGAAGUGAAAACUCAGGGCUUAACCCUGAGCCUGCUUCCGAUACGGGCAAACUAGAGGAAUGCAGGGGAGAAUGGAAUUCCUGGUGGAGCGGUGGAAUGCGCAGAUAUCAGGAGGAACACCAGUGGCGAAGGCGGUUCUCUGGGCAUUUCCUGACGCUGAGAAGCGAAAGCGUGGGGAGCAAACAGGCUUAGAUACCCUGGUAGUCCACGCCGUAAACGGUGGGCACUAGGUGUGGGACUCAUUCCACGAGUUCCGUGCCGUAGCUAACGCAUUAAGUGCCCCGCCUGGGGAGUACGGCCGCAAGGCUAAAACUCAAAGGAAUUGACGGGGGCCCGCACAAGCGGCGGAGCAUGCGGAUUAAUUCGAUGCAACGCGAAGAACCUUACCUAGGUUUGACAUAUACCGGAAAGCUGCAGAGAUGUAGCCCCCGCAAGGUCGGUAUACAGGUGG